CGACUYUCGGCAACGGAUAUYUCGGCUCUCGCAUCGAUGAAGAACGUAGCGAACUGCGAUACUUGGUGUGAAUUGCAGAAUCCCGUGAACCAUCGAGUCUUUGAACGCAAGUUGCGCCCGUAACCWUCCGGUGAGGGCACGUUUGCCUGGGUGUCACAC
rnacentral:rRNA from 1 species